GAUAAACAAAAAUGUGAACCAAAAGGAGAGCACAUGGGGCCUAUGCAACCACAAAGCUUUCAUCUCUUCUCAUUUCUUCAAACAAAGACUUUGAACUUAGUAUUUUCUGGUUGAUCUAUUGCAAUCCAUGUGGAAAUGGUCAAUGAGUGUUGAAAUACUGUCUCCCAUCACCAGGACAGUGCAGUAAAAUAACAGAUCAGCAGACCUCAGACUUCUUUCUUCAAAGCUGUGAUUAUCAGUGGAAACUGAGAUAAACAUUCCAGACAAUGCUUAACCAGGAAAAAAGUCUGCACACUGUCUCCAGAGGGUGUCAGAAGGGCACCAUGCCAAGGUAUACUGUCCACGUGCGGGGAGAGUGGCUGGCCGUACCCUGUAAAGAUGGCUCAGACACUGUUAAGUGGCUGGGUAAGGAGGCUCUGAGGAGAUACAUAAAAAACAGACCAGAUAAUGGUGGCUUUGAUUGUGUGGAUGAUGUGAAAUUUUACCUGCGGAGAUGUAAGGGCCUUGGACUACUUGAUCUUGAUGACAAAUUGAAUGAUGCUCUGGAGGACAAUGAGUUUGUUGAAG